UACGUAGGGUGCGAGCGUUGUCCGGAAUUAUUGGGCGUAAAGAGCUCGUAGGCGGUGUGUCACGUCGGCCGUGAAAACUUGCAGCUUAACUGUGGGCGUGCGGUCGAUACGGGCAUCACUGGAGUUCGGCAGGGGAGACUGGAAUUCCUGGUGUAGCGGUGAAAUGCGCAGAUAUCAGGAAGAACACCGGUGGCGAAGGCGGCCCACUGGUCCGGUACUGACGCUGAGGUGCGAAAGCGUGGGGAGCAAACAGG
rnacentral:rRNA from 1 species